rnacentral:rRNA from 1 species
AUUGAACGCUGGCGGCAGGCCUAACACAUGCAAGUCGAACGAGAGGCGGACGGGUGAGAAAUGUAUGGGAAACUGCGCGAUGGAGGGGUACAACUAAGGGAAACGGUAACUACUAACGCAUACAGCGGGAGAUACCGGGAUGGGAUUAGGUAGUAGGUGGGGUAAAGGCUCACCAAGGCGACGAUCCCUAGCUGGUCUGAGAGGAUGACCAGCCACACUGGAACUGAGACACGGCCCAGACUCCUACGGGAGGCAGCAGUGGGGAAUAUUGGACAAUGGGGGCAACCCUGAUGCAGCCAUCCCGCGUGUGUGAUGAAGGCCUUCGGGUUGUAAAGUACUUUUGGCGGGGAGGCGUUACCCGCAGAAUAAGCACCGGCUAACUCCGUGCCAGCAGCCGCGGUAAUAC